AGUGGCGGACGGGUGAGUAACGCGUGAGAAUCUGCCUUGGGGUCGGGGACAACCACUGGAAACGGUGGCUAAUACCGGAUAAGCCGAUUGGUGAAAGAUUUAUUGCCCGAAGAGGAGCUCGCGUCUGAUUAGCUAGUUGGUGAGGUAAGAGCUCACCAAGGCAGCGAUCAGUAGCUGGUCUGAGAGGACGAUCAGCCACACUGGGACUGAGACACGGCCCAGACUCCUACGGGAGGCAGCAGUGGGGAAUUUUCCGCAAUGGGCGAAAGCCUGACGGAGCAAGACCGCGUGAGGGAGGAAGGCUCUUGGGUUGUAAACCUCUUUUCUCAGGGAAGAAGCUCUGGCGGUACCUGAGGAAUCAGCCUCGGCUAACUCCGUGCCAGCAGCCGCGGUAAUACGGAGGAGGCAAGCGUUAUCCGGAAUUAUUGGGCGUAAAGCGUCCGCAGGUGGCGAUUCAAGUCUGCUGUCAAAGCACGGGGCUUAACUCCGUAAAGGCAGUGGAAACUGAAUAGCUAGAGUGCCGUAGGGGUAGAGGGAAUUCCCGGUGUAGCGGUGAAAUGCGUAGAGAUCGGGAAGAACAUCGGUGGCGAAAGCGUUCUACUGGACGGCAACUGACACUCAGGGACGAAAGCUAGGGGAGCGAAUGGGAUUAGAUACCCC
rnacentral:rRNA from 1 species